GAGUUUGAUCCUGGCUCAGAUUGAACGCUGGCGGCAGGCUUAACACAUGCAAGUCGAGCGGGGUGAUGUAGCUUGCUACAUUACCUAGCGGCGGACGGGUGAGUAAUGCUUAGGAAUCUGCCUAUUAGUGGGGGACAACAUUCCGAAAGGAAUGCUAAUACCGCAUACGCCCUACGGGGGAAAGCAGGGGAUCUUCGGACCUUGCGCUAAUAGAUGAGCCUAAGUCAGAUUAGCUAGUUGGUGGGGUAAAGGCCUACCAAGGCGACGAUCUGUAGCGGGUCUGAGAGGAUGAUCCGCCACACUGGGACUGAGACACGGCCCAGACUCCUACGGGAGGCAGCAGUGGGGAAUAUUGGACAAUGGGCGAAAGCCUGAUCCAGCCAUGCCGCGUGUGUGAAGAAGGCCUUUUGGUUGUAAAGCACUUUAAGCGAGGAGGAGGCUACUUGGAUUAAUACUCUAGGAUAGUGGACGUUACUCGCAGAAUAAGCACCGGCUAACUCUGUGCCAGCAGCCGCGGUAAUACAGAGGGUGCGAGCGUUAAUCGGAUUUACUGGGCGUAAAGCGUGCGUAGGCGGCUUUUUAAGUCGGAUGUGAAAUCCCUGAGCUUAACUUAGGAAUUGCAUUCGAUACUGGGAAGCUAGAGUAUGGGAGAGGAUGGUAGAAUUCCAGGUGUAGCGGCGAAAUGCGUAGAGAUCUGGAGGAAUACCGAUGGCGAAGGCAGCCAUCUGGCCUAAUACUGACGCUGAGGUACGAAAGCAUGGGGAGCAAACAGGAUUAGAUACCCUGGUAGUCCAUGCCGUAAACGAUGUCUACUAGCCGUUGGGGCCUUUGAGGCUUUAGUGGCGCAGCUAACGCGAUAAGUAGACCGCCUGGGGAGUACGGUCGCAAGACUAAAACUCAAAUGAAUUGACGGGG
rnacentral:rRNA from 1 species